ACCGUCAGCGGCCUCUCCAGGGAGUUUAACGUCAGCAGAAGGACCAUGUACCGGCUAGUUAAGAAAGAUCUUGGCCUUAAGGUCUACAAGAGAACCCUCGUCAAGCCCUCAAGCCUGUAUACAAGGAAAAACGUCUCGCAAGGUCGAAUAUUCUUCUCAACAAGCUUAAGAAAAAGCCGCCUCACUCGCCUGAUUGUUCGCCGCUUGACUUCGCAGUGUUUGUGCAUUUAAAGGGGAUGCUGUCGGAAGUGCCAUACAAGUUCAAGGACCAGCUGAAGUCUGCCCUCAAGAAUGCCUGAGCCAACCUCGACCAGAGCUUCAUCGCCAAGUCAUGCAUCAAGUUCCGGUCCAGGCUGGAGUUUACACCCAACAUUGAGUUCACAAGCCUUAAUUGUUGAUUUCAAAAAGGAAAUAUUUAAUGCAUUCAGUGAAACUUUCCCGACUUGUAACGUCACUAGUUGUCGUUUUCAUAUGGCCAAGAAUUUGUAUCGGCACAUUGGUGAUCUGGCCUUAAAAGUUUGAUUUCUAAACGAUUCAAAUUUAAAUAAUAAGGUAUAGGGUUUUACAGCCUUGGAAUUUCUCCCAGUCAUUAAUGGGGUUAUAGAACUCUCCCACGACGAUGAUAUACCUCAAGAAUGUGUUUCUUACUUUCAAACUAAUUGCAUUGUAGAAGAACAAGGUUGUAGAGAAACCCGACGGAGAAUACUACCGUCGUUUCCUAUUGAAAUUUGAAAUAGGUACGAAAAGACUCAAGCUUUGACGAUUCGAACGAUUGAUAGUGUUGAAAGAUUUCACAAUACUUUUAAAAGCUCUGUUAUUCAUCUCAACAUAUGGCAAGUAAUAUCUACGCUAUUAAGAAGGAAGAGAGCCUAGCAAGGAAAAAAAUGUGAUAGGGUUGGAAUAAUACCGAUAUCCAAAAAAUAUUCAAGUAUAAAUAGAAGGUUCUACAUUACUCUUAACUAUAGUCCAGAGGAAAAUAUGGAAUAUUUAAGAAACAUAGCUUGGAGUUUUGAUACGUUUUAAGAUUUAUUCAUCGUCAUACGUUAUUUAUGUUAAAUAUAAUAUUUUGUAAAGUACUUUUUUGCUUUCAUUUCAUUUAAAAAGAGUAAUAGAAAUAAAUCAUGUAAAUUAAUCAUUUUUUUUUUUGAAUAAUUUAGUUUCAACAGCUAUUGGUUCUUUGGAAAAGUUGAGAAAUUAUGCUGAAUUUCGGAAUCAGAAUAACUAGGUACUUAAAUGUAAAAUAAUUUUAUUAUUUCAAUAUCCCCUUCCCCUAGGGAGACUCCACACUUCUUAGGGGUUCACCAACAGUUUGAGAGGCCCUGGACUAAGGAGCAGUAAAUAUAAUUAACCAAGAAAAGAGUAAUGUUUUUAUUUCGUAAGGUGUAUCCCACAAUAGAUGUGAAUACUUAAUAAAGAGUUAUGUGAAGUGGGUCAGUUCGGAUAGACUAUAAUUAUUAAAAAGGUGAAAAUGCUGGAUUUAGCAUUGGAAAAUAGACUGGAAAUAUGAAUAUGCCUUUAUCUAAUAUAUUUUCUGAUGAUUCAACUUUUCAUUUUUUCCUAAAGCUUAGGCACGUACAACAACUUGUAUGAAAAGAAAAAAAAUCUUGGUAAACAUACUUAGUAAUAAUUAGUUAUUACUUUUGAUCCUUGUGUAGUGUAAGUUGGAUUCUAAUUCAAUAAAAAACACACCUUGAGAAUUAUUGAGACUCAGACGAACUCAAGAUAGAGGAGUAUCAUCAAGACUUGAACAGCAAGUGGUCCCUCGGCAAACUGUCUGUUCGGAAAAGUGGUCAAUCGUCCAAGUGGCUUUCAGCAAUAAGGGCUUCGACAAUGUGUCCGAGCACGAAUAGAAGAAGAAAAUUGAGGAAAAGGCAAAUAAACAAAAGAAUCUCACCAUUAUUUGAUUUUGGUUCUUCGUUCUGUUUAAUGAAAUACAAUACAACUUACAUAAAUUUUCAAAAUAAAAUUAUUUAAUAUCAAUAAUUAAAUUAUUAGUUAGAAUUAAGUUAUUUAAUCUUUUUUGAAGUACUAUGUAUUUUAGCAUCAUGCAGUCAGUAGUCAAUCAAAGAAAUGUGAAAACAAAUAUUUUAUAACA
rnacentral:lncRNA from 1 species